UGAAAUGCCUUUGUGUUCCUGCGCUGGAGCUACU
rnacentral:sRNA from 1 species